GAUGAACGCUGGCGGCGUGCCUAACACAUGCAAGUCGAACGGAUCCAUGCUGAAACCUAGUGAUGCAUGGAUUAGUGGCGGACGGGUGAGUAACGCGUGGAUAACCUGCCGUAUACUGGGGGAUAACACUUAGAAAUAGGUGCUAAUACCGCAUAAGCGCACAGUCUAGCAUGAGACGGUGUGAAAAACUCCGGUGGUAUACGAUGGAUCCGCGUCUGAUUAGCUUGUUGGCGGGGUAACAGCCCACCAAGGCGACGAUCAGUAGCCGGCCUGAGAGGGUGAACGGCCACAUUGGGACUGAGACACGGCCCAAACUCCUACGGGAGGCAGCAGUGGGGAAUAUUGCACAAUGGGGGAAACCCUGAUGCAGCGACGCCGCGUGAGUGAAGAAGUGCCCCGGCACGUAAAGCUCUAUCAGCAGGGAAGAAAAUGACGGU
rnacentral:rRNA from 1 species